rnacentral:lncRNA from 10 species
GGAGCUCCUCCUCGGCUCCUCCUGUUUGUACCCGAAGAGGAGAUGAGGACACAGAGAGACGCAGGGACGCAUGUGCACGGAGGAGAGAUCCCGUGAGGACGUUGCCAGAGGGCGGCCAUCUGCAAGCCACGCAGAAGGGCCUCCAGAGCAACCAACCCUGCCAACACCUUGAUCUUGGACUUCCAGGCUGCAGAACUAUGGAAAAAUGCGUUGGGCAAAGCAGCUCACAUCUGGAUCCCUCGGCUCCACACAGAGGCGUCACCCAACUCCCGGCCUGUCCCUAGCCCCUUCCUCAGAGAGACACCUUAAUCCUUUGCGCCUUCCUGUUUAUCUCCUGCAUCUCUUGGAGGCAAAAAUAUUGGGUAUUAGUUUCAUUAUCAGAUUUCAAGACAGGGAGGAAAGGGCAGCUUUGUGAGAACAGAGAGGUCAGCCCAGAGAAAAGGGGGUUGGGGGUGGCAGAGACACUCUUGAGGGACCAGCAGGGGCAAGGACAGAAGCACUGCCUAGGCCAUUGAGGCUCUGCCUCUUAUCCAGGGGUACCCCAGACACCCACAGACACCCCAAGCUUUGUGCCCCUCUUUGGCUAUCAUGUGAGGAUCACCAAGGAUGCAUCACAUGUGGCUGCAUUUCAGACCCAGGGCAUAACGAGGGUAAGGAAGAUAGGAGGGCGAGAGGCCCCACUUUCCAACCAGAAACCCAGUAGGAAAAGAGGCCCAAGAGGUGGGUUCCUAUUUUCUUCCCCCAUCAAAAAGUCCUCUAAGUCCUAUUUCAACACAUGCCUGUGGCCACUCCUUACCUCUCAACAUUCCUGCCUUUCUGCCCCUCUCCCUCUCCCACCAACCUGGAACUGCUCAACCCCUUCCCACUCCCCAGGUCAGGUCAGUUCAGUGCAUACUCACAGUGUUCUAGCUAUGUUCCCAGCUCUGUGCUACAGGCUAUGUGAGAUACACAGAUGGACAAUGCACUCUCAACUAUCCAUGGGUUCCCCAUCUAAUGGAGGGAACAAACUCAUGUCAGAAAAUUCUCUGAUCAAGUGGGACUAAUCUCUCAUUAACUGUGUUGGUUUGCUGAGGAUAGGGACAGCGUUUGCUCUUAUAUCCUCCAGCCCACAGAAAGCCUUCAUACAUUUUUGUUGUGCAAAUGAGAGACAGAAAGCAAACAAGAGAGAAGAUAGAUGGAUGGAUGAAUGAAUGGAAGGAUGAAAAGGUGGAUGGAUGGACGGAUGGAUAGAUGGAGAGAGGGAUGGACGGAUGGAUGGGGUUGAUAGGUGGGUGGAGGGAGGGAGGGAGGGAGGGAUGCAUGGAUGGAUGGAUGGACGCAUGCAUGGAUGGAUGGAUGGAUGGAUAGGUAGGUGGGCAGGUAGACAGGCAAGCGGGUAUGUAUAGAGACAGUUAGAUAGUUAGACAGGUAGGGCAGAUAGAGGAUUUACUGCCUGAACCACUCCCUGACAAGGCAUAGCCUUGCGACAUCUGAUUGUUGCUUUCAACUGCUUUAACUCAUCAAUUUAACUUCUGUCUGCUCAAGUAGACUGCUGUGCUUUAGAGAGAAAAACCCACAUCUAAGUCCCCUGGACUCUUCCUGGAACUCUAAGUAGUGCCCUUGCACACAGAGACUGAAUCUGCAUCCAUUGUUUUUGAUGAAUUUACCAAACCAUAAGUGUUGGCCCACCCCAAAAGACCCUGGCGAACUUACUCUCAAUCCCAUCAGGACUACCCCAGGUCCAGAAAGCAUCCAGCAGACAUUGGUGAGCAGUUUCCAGACCAUGUCUCUCAGGGACUCUGGUCCUGGCUCCCCCAGACUUCACAUGGCCCAGGGGCUUCUCACUGGAGCAGGAAGGCCAUUUGGUGAUGGGUCUCCUCAGAGGCUCUAGUCUGGGGCCCAGUACCCCACAGCAGCCCUCCAGCACACAGGAUCACCAUGUCUUCUCCUUCCAGAGCAGUUCUUUUGAGAAGACUGACCAUGUUAUCUCUGUAGCAUAACGGCUGAAUUCUCCAAAAAAAAAAAAAAACCAACUCACGCAGGCACCAUCGCAGGCUGCAGGCCCCAGCCAUUGGCUGCCUGCGCACUGGGACAGGUACUGCUCUCAGAUCUGUCAUGAUUGUUGACACAUUUCCACAUGUCCAGGCCACAUGGGCAGGUUGGGACAUGGCAAAAAUUUGCAGGUCGGUGGGGGGCGCUUCUUCCCUCACCAGCUCCUCUGCUAGGUAAGUCCAUGGCUCCUGGGUAAGGACCAGGAGACCUACUCAGCAUGUACAACUCACAAAUUCCCUGAGGGAGAGGGGGCAGUGUUCUCAACCGGUGGCAAUUUUGUCCCCCAGUGGACAUCUGGCAGUGUCUACAGACAUUUUUGGUUAUCAUGACUGGGGAGGGAGGGGCUGUUUGCAUCCAGGGAUAGAAACCAGAGAGGUCGCUAAACUUCCUACAAUGCACAGGACAGUUCCCCCAAACAGAGCCUGCCAAAUGUCCAUAGUGCUGAGUUUGAGAAUUCCUGGGUUAGGGAGAUCAUGACGCCCACCGCCUCCAGGGUAUGUAAAUGUUUAAUCCCCUUUGCCUAAAAUGCUGUUCUCUAAGUGCAAACUCUGAGGCUUAGAAAGCUGCUCCAGGAGCGCCAGGCGCAGUGGCUCACGCCUGUAAUCCCAGCACUUUGGGAGGCCGAGACGGGCGGAUCACCUGAAGUCAGGAGUUUGAAACCAGCCUGACCAACAUGGAGAAACCCCGUCUCUACUAAAAAAUACAAAAUUAGUGGGCAUGGUGGCACAUGCCUGUAAUCCCAGCUACUCGGGAGGAUGAGGCAGGAGAAUCGCUUGAACCCGGGAGGCAAAGGUUGCGGUGAGCUGAGAUCACGCCAUUGCACUCCAGCCUGGGCGACAAGAGCAAAACUCGUCUCAAAAAAAAAAAAACAAAAAAGAAAAAGAAAGCUGCUCCAGGAGGUGACUGUCAUUAACUCCUUCAACAAAGCUUUAACUGACGCCUUUAAAAGGGCCAGGUGCUGGUGUGACAGCGGCAGGCAAGAUGGAGUCCUGUCCCAGGGUCCUUCCUGGCUCAGGGGAAGAUGGACAGUGGUCUAGUAAUUGCACUGUUUUCAACGGUGACCAGAGCUGUCAAGACUAACACUCAAGGAGGCCGUUCUUCUGGACCUCUCUGGAACAACGGGGAGAGGACAGGGCCUGAGAAGAGAGUCGGAGCACAGACGGGAUAUUCUGCCAGCGCUGCCCCAACUGUAACGUGCAUAUGGUCACCUGGGGAUCCUGUGCAAAUGCAGGCUCUGAUGGGGAGGGAUGGAACUGGAACUCAAUGGAAAAGAACCCAGUUGGGACAUGACCCACUGUGUGGACAGAGAGCCUUUGCAAGGAGGUAAAGGGAGGUUCAACCGCAGGGGCCUGUGAUGGGGCAGUGGGCAGAUGCCUGGUUUCAAGAGAAAUUUCUCCUUAAAUGACUGGUUCAGAAUCAUAAAAAUACUUGAGAGUUAUUUUUAAGAGUUUGAGGUAGUCUGUAUUUCCUUUAUUACUUUGCUGCUCCAUUUGGUAUGCUAUUUAUUUAGAAAUUGUUCAGCUCCUGUUUAUAAAUUUUAGGUAUUCCGCCU